AUUCAUUGUCUUCUACAGUAGAGCGGGACAUUUAAUUUACUCUCAGCGGAAUUGACCGGAGAAGGCAUCAGUUCAUGCACUGCACUGGCCCGCACCACGAUUAGUAUAAGGCACAUUUCACGAAGCAGAACGCAGUCUUCAGAGAUAUCCACGUGAACGCUGUGAUACGUCUGACCUUCAGUCCGAAGAAGAAACCCAGACCAGUCUUAAAAGAAAGCACAAACCAAAUCCCCUGUACACAUAUACGGACUCAGAGGAUGAGUUUUUUUGUGGGGAAAGCCUACAAAAAAACGGUUUCCCCAGGCCCCUCGAGUGAAAAUACCAGCCCUCAUCACUCCGCAGUCUGCCCCCCAGCCCACUGAUAGCAACCAUCAUAAUGCCCCACCCAGCUUCCGGCACCUUUCGCCACUCCGGCACAAACCGACACAGCUUUGCGAUCUCCCCAGCAUGCAGAGUCUGAUGUCUUCCCUAUAGAUGAUUCCAGAGACUCUGUGAGGCCACUAUUACAAGGUGAGACGCUUUGCGUUGAUUGGUGCUGCUGGACCACACUGGAGGUGCGAGUCCGCCAUGUAAUGGUUUAUGCCAUUACAAAGGAGCUGGCCUCUGUACUCAACUGGACAGGGGAAAAAAAACAAGGACCAGACAAAGCAAAAAAGGGCAUUUAAAGAGACAGCGCUGUGCAGAUGCAUAUUUGAUGGCCUGGCGCAGCAGGUAGGGGCGAACUCUAUGUCUGAGUUGGUCUUUGCUCAAGCAGUCCAGAAAUGGCUCAGAUAUGCUCCAGAUCAUACGGGUGGC